rnacentral:rRNA from 1 species
CCUACGGGAGGCAGCAGUGAGGAAUAUUGGUCAAUGGCCGGAAGGCUGAACCAGCCAAGCCGCGUGAGGGAGGAAGGCGCAGAGCGUCGCAGACCUCUUUUGCCGGGGGACAAAAGGCCGGACUCGUCCGGUCCUGAGGGUACCCGGAGAAAAAGCAUCGGCAAACUCCGGGCCAGCAGCCGGGGUAAUACGGAGGAUGCGAGCGUUAUCCGGAUUCAUGGGGUUAAAGGGGUGCGCAGGCGGGCCUUAAAGCUGGCGGUGAAAUCGCGGGGCUCAACCCCGCAGAGCCGUCGGAACUGGGGGGCUUGAGUGCGGCGGAGGCAUGCGGAAUGCGCGGUGUAGCGGUGAAAUGCGUAGAUAUCGCGCAGAACACCGAUUGCGAAGGCAGCGUGCCGUGCCGCAACUGACGCUGAGGCACGAAAGCGCGGGGAUCGAACAGGAUUAGAUACCCUAGUAGUC